rfam:Candidatus Bathyarchaeota archaeon B24 scaffold148, whole genome shotgun sequence.
GCCGGGGUCACCUAGUCUGGUAGGGUGCAGGCCUGCUAAGCCUGUGCUCCGUAUGGGGCUCGUGGGUUCAAAUCCCACCCCCGGCG